CCUUGCUUUAGCAAGGCU
rnacentral:misc_RNA from 1 species